rnacentral:rRNA from 1 species
AUGAGUAAAACUAUCAAUAGCACUCAAGUGAGCCAGGGGAGUGAUCGGGUUUACUGGGGGCUUAAUAGUAAUGGCAAAAUUUCCACUAAAUCUGUGUAUAAGUGGUUAGAAAGUCCUCUUAGUGGAUGCCAUUAUAGGUGGAUUUGGAAAGCUAAGAUCCCACUCAAAAUCAAGAUUUCCUUGUGGCAGUUGUCCCAGGAUGCGAUGCUUACUAGGAAGGUCAUGAGAACGAGGAAAUGGCCUGGGAAUCCCACCUGGUCCUUUUGUAAUGAGUUGGAAACCUCCCAACAUUUGUUCUUCACCUGUCCUGUGGCCAGGGUAAUCUGGAGAUGUGUUGGGGGUGGUGUUGGGUACUGA